UACAGAGGUCUCAAGCGUUGUUCGGAUUCAUUGGGCGUAAAGGGUGCGUAGGCGGCGCGGUAAGUCGGCUGUGAAAGUCCAGGGCUCAACCCUGGGAUGCCGGUCGAUACUGCCGGACUAGAGUUCGGAAGAGGCGAGUGGAAUUCCCGGUGUAGCGGUGAAAUGCGCAGAUAUCGGGAGGAACACCUAUGGCGAAGGCAGCUCGCUGGGACGUUACUGACGCUGAGACGCGAAAGCGUGGGGAGCAAACAGG
rnacentral:rRNA from 1 species